rnacentral:rRNA from 1 species
CCUCCAUCUUCAGGGUUAAUAUUUAUAUUCUCCCCAGAAUAAAAAUUUAAUAAGUUAGGUAAAGGUGUAGACUAUAUAGAAGAUAAGAUGGGUUACAAUAAAUUUCUAUUUAAGAAUAGAAAAUCAAAAUUUUUAUUGAAAAAGGAUUUAUAAGUAAAUGAAGAACAAUAUUCUUCCUUGAAAUUGAUAAACAAUGUGCACAUAUCGCCCGUCACCCUUAUCUAAAGGUAAGGUAAGUCGUAACAUAGUUGAUGUUUUGGAAAAAGCAUCAAGAACUUUAAAGCUAUAUUCAGCAUUUCACUUACACUGAAAAGAUAGAAAUAGCUUAUUCCUAAUUUUUUAUAAUAAAAAUACUUAUUUUAAUAAAAUUUUAUAUUAAUUUUUGUAACCACUGUAAAGGUUUAAUAAACUAUUUAAAAGAAAUUUGAUUUUCCUUUAGUAUCAGGAAUAUUCAAACCUUAUUUAAAAUUAAUUUUUCCUGAAAAAAGGUCAUCUAUAAAUUUAUUUUAUUAUUGUAUCAAAAAUAUUGUUAAUAAAUUUAUUGAAGUUAGACUCUAUCCGAACCUUUUGAUAUCCGGUUUCUUUUUAUUUUUAAAAAAUAAUUAUAUUUAAAAAGAUAAUUUUUUAAAUUCAUUUCUUAAUCCUUUCUAGUUUAUUAGGAAUAAAAGUUUCCAAAAAGUUUCAUAACCAUAUCUUUACUUAAUUUAAAUUUUUUAUAAAAGAUUACCUUUAUUAAUUAUAAUAAUGAAAAUAUUAGUAGAAUUAUCUUCAUUAUUAACUCAAUAACUAGGCAAAAAAUUGAAUGACUGUUUACCAAAAACAUUUCUUACUGAAUUUAUUGUAAGUAACACCUGCUCAAUGAAUAUUUUAAAUAGCCGCGGAAAUUUAACCGUGCUAAGGUAGCAUAAUCAUUAGCCUCUUAAUUAGAGGCUCGUAUGAACGGUGAAACAUUUCAAUUACUUUUUUACUUAAUAUAUUUAAAUUUAAAUUAAGAAUAAAAAUGUUCUUAUUUAUAAAAUAGACGAUAAGACCCUUUUGAACUUCACUCUAGUUUAGCUGGGGCAGCUAAAAAAUAAUAAUCUUAUUUUUGAUAUUUAAAUAAUUGACCCAAUAAAAUUGAUUACAUGAACAAGUUACCAUAGGGAUAACAGCGUAAUAUCUUUUUAAAGCUCUUAUUAAAAAAGAAGAUUGCGACCUCGAUGUUGAAUUAAUGUAACUUUACUGAUGCAGUAAUUUUAAAAGUAGGUCUGUUCGACCUUUAAAACAUUACAUGAUUUGAGUUCAAAUCGGUGUAAACCAGAUUGGUUUCUAUCUUUUAUUUUUAUUUAUUCAGUACGAAAGGACCAAUAAAUUUAUUUUUAAUAUUCUUAUGGCAGAUUAAUGCAUUAGAUUUAGAAUCUAUCAAUUCUAUUAUUUCCCCUUUUUUGAAUU